AGUCCUUUGUUAUUUAAAGGGCGCCCUAUAGUUGACAGCCCAUAUGUUGUUCUCCUUACUGGUUUUAUUUUUCUACCAGAGCUCUCUCCUCUCUCUUCUUCCUCCUCUAGAUCUUUUUCUCUUUUGGAGUGUCCAAUAGAACAAAAGAAGAAGAGACAAUUCAGCCUUUGAAGAUCCUUGCAAGCUAGCACUUCCAAGGAGCCUGAUCUGCAUCGAUCUUCAUGUAGAUGAUCUGUAAAGGCUGAACAUCUUCAUGCAGCUGUGAGCAACUUGAAGGGACUCUCUCAUAUAUAAUUUAUUUAUGGAGAUCAGCAACCCAUAUUC
rnacentral:lncRNA from 1 species